rnacentral:rRNA from 1 species
CCUACGGGUGGCUGCAGUGGGGAAUAUUGGACAAUGGGCGAAAGCCUGAUCCAGCCAUGCCGCGUGUGUGAAGAAGGCCUUCGGGUUGUAAAGCACUUUCAGUGGGGAAGAAAGCCUUGGGGCUAAUACCCUCGAGGAAGGACAUCACCCACAGAAGAAGCACCGGCUAACUCCGGGCCAGCAGCCGCGGUAAUACGGAGGGUGCGAGCGUUAAUCGGAAUUACUGGGCGUAAAGCGCGCGUAGGCGGUCUGAUAAGCCGGUUGUGAAAGCCCCGGGCUCAACCUGGGAACGGCAUCCGGAACUGUCAGGCUAGAGUGCAGGAGAGGAAGGUAGAAUUCCCGGUGUAGCGGUGAAAUGCGUAGAGAUCGGGAGGAAUACCAGUGGCGAAGGCAGCCUUCUGGACUGACACUGACGCUGAGGUGCGAAAGCGUGGGUAGCAAACAGGAUUAGAUACCCCGGUAGUC